GAAAGACGGUUUCGGCUGUCACUUACAGAUGGACCCGCGGCGCAUUAGCUAGUUGGUGGGGUAAUGGCUCACCAAGGCGACGAUGCGUAGCCGACCUGAGAGGGUGAUCGGCCACACUGGGACUGAGACACGGCCCAGACUCCUACGGGAGGCAGCAGUAGGGAAUCUUCCGCAAUGGACGAAAGUCUGACGGAGCAACGCCGCGUGAGUGAUGAAGGUUUUCGGAUCGUAAAGCUCUGUUGUUAGGGAAGAACAAGUGCGAGAGUAACUGCUCGCACCUUGACGGUACCUAACCAGAAAGCCACGGCUAACUACGUGCCAGCAGCCGCGGUAAUACGUAGGUGGCAAGCGUUGUCCGGAAUUAUUGGGCGUAAAGGGCUCGCAGGCGGUUUCUUAAGUCUGAUGUGAAAGCCCCCGGCUCAACCGGGGAGGGUCAUUGGAAACUGGGAAACUUGAGUGCAGAAGAGGAGAGUGGAAUUCCACGUGUAGCGGUGAAAUGCGUAGAGAUGUGGAGGAACACCAGUGGCGAAGGCGACUCUCUGGUCUGUAACUGACGCUGAGGAGCGAAAGCGUGGGGAGCGAACAGGAUUAGAUACCCUGGUAGUCCACGCCGUAAACGAUGAGUGCUAAGUGUUAGGGGGUUUCCGCCCCUUAGUGCUGCAGCUAACGCAUUAAGCACUCCGCCUGGGGAGUACGGUCGCAAGACUGAAACUCAAAGGAAUUGACGGGGGCCCGCACAAGCGGUGGAGCAUGUGGUUUAAUUCGAAGCAACGCGAAGAACCUUACCAGGUCUUGACAUCCUCUGACAACCCUAGAGAUAGGGCUUUCCCUUCGGGGACAGAGUGACAGGUGGUGCAUGGUUGUCGUCAGCUCGUGUCGUGAGAUGUUGGGUUAAGUCCCGCAACGAGCGCAACCCUUGAUCUUAGUUGCCAGCAUUUAGUUGGGCACUCUAAGGUGACUGCCGGUGACAAACCGGAGGAAGGUGGGGAUGACGUCAAAUC
rnacentral:rRNA from 1 species